UGCCUAGUAACGGCGAGUGAACAGGCAAGAGCUCAGAUUUGAAAGGCACUUUUGUGCCGUUGUAUUCUGAAGUUAGGGUCCUGAGAAACGAUGCUUAAGUCUUCUGGAAAGGAGCGCCAUGGAGGGUGAUAGCCCCGUCUAGCAUUGACCUCAUAUAGGAUCUUAACAUGGAGUCGAGUUGUUUGGGAAUGCAGCUCAAAUGGGUGGUAUGCUCCAUCUAAAGCUAAAUAUCUGCGAGAGACCGAUAGUAAACAAGUACUGUGAGGGAAAGAUGAAAAGAACUUUGAAAAGAGAGUGAAAAAGUACGUGAAAUUGUUGAAAUGGAAGGGUAGGCCGCUAACCAUGUAGAGCCGUGUUUGGGGGGAAGAUAAAUGCUGUAGAAUGUAGCUCCUCGGAGUAUUAUAGAUGCAGUUCAUAUUCCCACCCGAGCGCGAGGAUCUCAGGUUCUACUAAAUGGUGGUCUACCACCCGUCUUGAACCACGGACCAAGAA
rnacentral:rRNA from 1 species